rnacentral:lncRNA from 13 species
AAGCCAUCCCAGCCAUCUCCAUGCCGGACAGAAUCAGGGUGGCUCUGGCAGGAGAAACGGUCCAUUACAAACUCAAAGUGACCAUCCCAAUGAAUCAGAGCUCCAGCAACUUGGUCUGCUCUGGGCCUCCAGAACAAAAGAAGAUAAAAGAAUGGAAUAUUCUCUUUUCUCCUGAAACAUUAACAAGAACAUUUAAUUUGGAAAUAACAGCAUAUAACAGUUCAUACUCAGGAGAGUAUAACUGCAAGUAUAAAAAUGUGGAGAUCUUCUGGACCCUUCUGGUGAAAGGUGAGUGUGUGGUAGAAGAAGAAGAAAAUGAAGGGAUGAUAGAAAGAUAACAGUUAGUCAGUUAGUGAAACUUCUGUUGUCCACAUGUUGAGUAACAGGAAUUGUUGACAUGAGAGUGAAAACACAAUCACUUUUUAAAAGGGAGCUUUUUUUGGUACAAACACUGUAGAUGUCAGCUGAAUGUCAGACGUACGCCACCAUCAACAACACGCAUGAUUGGCAUCAUGACAUUAAAAAGCCCUCUAACUCUUUUUUUUCUCACUUGACAUUAAAUCUACUUCCAACCAAAGUGUUCAGACAUUGACUGACACUGGACAAACUCUAAUGGUACUAUGUGUAUUGUCUCUGUAUCUCUGUAUUUGUCUCUGUCUCUCUUUCAGACGAGGGGUACCGGCAGUCUUACUCUGGUUUCAGCCUUUUCUUCGUGUUGGGGGCUCUUACCACAGGCCUCCUCAUCUUCAGUGUGAUCGGCUCCAUAUACGUGUUCAAAAGCCAAUGGGUAAGAGAUUUGAGAAAGGUGUGGUGGAGGUUCUGAAACACUGUAUAUUUUUGUACCCUUCUGUUGUGGUUGGUAUGUUGUCAUUGUAUCAGUCCGUAUGUGUGUUAACUUGUGAUUUCCGGGGUCAGUUUACAUUGAAGAAUGGAAGUACCGGUAGUGGAGUAAGCGGAAGGAAUAGAGGGGAGAAUGAAGAGGUGGAGGAGAACGGUAACACAUCAGUGAAUGCAGCUGCCUCUGCUCCGGUUUACGCUAGUCUAGAGUCUCGGCCAGCAUCUGUCUAUGAGGUCUUGACCCCAGGAGCACCAGCAGCAGCAGUAAACCGUGAAUCUGUCCAGAGGAAAGGAAACGUAAAGAGAAAGUCAAAGGAAUCGGUGCAGAAUGCAACGCCGCAAGAGGAAGGAAUAUUUGAAUGCGUCUAUGAGAAUUUCUGA